CCUACGGGGGGCAGCAGUGGGGAAUAUUGGACAAUGGGGGCAACCCUGAUCCAGCCAUGCCGCGUGUGUGAAGAAGGCCCUCGGGUUGUAAAGCACUUUCAGUGAGGAAGAACGCCUGGUGGUUAAUACCCAUCAGGAAAGACAUCACUCACAGAAGAAGCACCGGCUAACUCCGUGCCAGCAGCCGCGGUAAUACGGAGGGUGCGAGCGUUAACCGGAAUUACUGGGCGUAAAGCGCGCGUAGGUGGCUUGAUAAGCCGGUUGUGAAAGCCCCGGGCUCAACCUGGGAACGGCAUCCGGAACUGUCAAGCUAGAGUGCAGGAGAGGAAGGUAGAAUUCCCGGUGUAGCGGUGAAAUGCGUAGAGAUCGGGAGGAAUACCAGUGGCGAAGGCGGCCUUCUGGACUGACACUGACACUGAGGUGCGAAAGCGUGGGUAGCAAACAGGAUUAGAUACCCUAGUAGUC
rnacentral:rRNA from 1 species